AUUGAACGCUGGCGGCAGGCCUAACACAUGCCAGUCGAACGGUAACAGGAAGCAGCUUGCUGCUUUGCUGACGAGUGGCGGACGGGUGAGUAAUGUCUGGGAAACUGCCUGAUGGAGGGGGAUAACUACUGGAAGCGGUAGCUAAUACCGCAUAACGUCGCAAGACCAAAGAGGGGGACCUUAGGGCCUCUUGCCAUCGGAUGUGCCCAGAUGGGAUUAGCUAGUAGGUGGGGUAACGGCUCACCUAGGCGACGAUCCCUAGCUGGUCUGAGAGGAUGACCAGCCACACUGGAACUGAGACACGGUCCAGACUCCUACGGGAGGCAGCAGUGGGGAAUAUUGCACAAUGGGCGCAAGCCUGAUGCAGCCAUGCCGCGUGUAUGAAGAAGGCCUUCGGGUUGUAAAGUACUUUCAGCGGGGAGGAAGGGAGUAAAGUUAAUACCUUUGCUCAUUGACGUUACCCGCAGAAGAAGCACCGGCUAACUCCGUG
rnacentral:rRNA from 1 species